rnacentral:rRNA from 1 species
GAUCAUGGCCCAGGAUGAACGCUAGCUACAGGCUUAACACAUGCAAGUCGAGGGGCAUCAGUUUGGUUUGCUUGCAAACCGAAGCUGGCGACCGGCGCACGGGUGAGUAACACGUAUCCAACCUACCUCAUACUCGGGGAUAGCCUUUCGAAAGAAAGAUUAAUAUCCGAUAGCAUAUAUUUCCCGCAUGGGUUUUAUAUUAAAGAAAUUCGGUAUGAGAUGGGGAUGCGUUCCAUUAGUUUGUUGGGGGGGUAACGG